CCCCGUCGAAAUUCUGAUAGAAAUUGGAAGCCAUUGAAAAAAUAGCCAAUCAUUUGGUUGAGGGUUGGGCUGGCAGGCUGCCACCAGCAUAUUGUUGCAAAGAUCAUUGAGUUGUUUGAUUGUAGUGAACUAUUUGGUAAAUGAUCCUGUUCCCACACAAGUUUGCUUUUGUUUCUUGAUUGCAUAACUUGUGUUACCCAUGGGUGUUUAGUGUCCUGUUACCCCCCAAAUGUGUUUGAAACAGCCCAUGUGAUACCUUUGCUUUUCAAGAAUCUAGCAAUAUUGAACCAGUACUUAACGAAAUGAACAGAAACAUGCAGUGAGACCUACCUACACAAGACAGACACAAUGUUUGCUUGAAAUCAGAAUUCAAGUAUGAAUUGGACAUGGAUUGCAGUUUCACACCAGACAACAAAAUAUCAGUGUUCAAGAAAAGCUAGUGAGAAGGAUGUUAUUAUUGGUGUAAACUGUAAAGUUGUGCAGAAUUGACAAUAUGGACAGCCCAGUUUGUUAAGUGUGUUCAGACUUGCAGUUCUACAUCAUACUUCAAGUUGUUACUUCCUACGUUGGUGUCCAUGCUGUGUUGAACUGUUAGGCAUAUUUUAUCGUCGAUAUGUCGUCUCUUGCUACCUGUACCUGCGUUGAGAUCUGCAAACACGAGGUUAUGAAUUUCGUUUUGGGGUCAAUGGAGUUGGCGGUGGUUGCCGUUACUGGCCUUUUGCGACGUCUUGAUAUCAGUUUGAAAUAAUAGUUCUGAACUCUGGGGAAUCCUCACUCAUACUCGAGUCAACCUGCAGACAGGUCGGCCAGUUUGUUUCAGUAUGUUUCUGGAUGUGCUUCACGCUUGAAGGUCAAGGGAAAGACAUAACGUAAAACUGGCAUGCGGUGGUGUAGAGGUUGGGUGAGAAUGACACGUGUUUCAACAU